rnacentral:rRNA from 1 species
CAGCCGCCACGGGAAUACAGAGGGUGCGAGCGUUAAUCGGAUUUACUGGGCGUAAAGCGUGUGUAGGUUGUUGUUCAAGUCAGUUGUGAAAUCCCUGGGCUCAACCUGGGAACUGCUUCUGAGACUGAACGACUAGAGUACGGUAGAGGGUGGUGGAAUUUCCGGUGUAGCGGUGAAAUGCGUAGAUAUCGGAAGGAACAUCAAUGGCGAAGGCAGCCACCUGGACUGAUACUGACACUAAGGUGCGAAAGCGUGGGGAGCAAAUAGGAUUAGAUACCCCAGUAGUCCCUGUCUCUUAUAC